rnacentral:tRNA from 1 species
UCCCCAGUGGCUCAGCCGUAAAGAAUCUGCCUGCAGUGCAGAAGAUGCAGGUUCAAUCCCUGGAUUGGGAA